GUUGACUCGUGUGUGAGCGCUCGUGAGUGUGAGUUUGUGUUUGGGUUUGUGUGCGUGUGCGUGUGUGUAUAGGUAUGUUUUGGGCUGAGUGGGCGUGGAGCAAUCUGUUCAAUCAGAUUGAUUAAUUGAUUGAUUUUGUUUGUUUAUUUUUGGUAUCAAGUGGAGACAUAAUCGUCCCGUGCUUUUGGAUGCAUUUAGUGGAGCAGAGCAGUUCCCCUCAAUGUGCGCCUCUGCUUUAGCUCUCACACUCUCGUUCUCUCACUCCUUCCUCGUAUUACCGUUUAUUUGCCUUGGCGAUUGUCACACAGCAACAACAAGAGUAUGUCUGUGGAAUGGGGGGGUGAGGGGACAACAACAACUACUUGAGGCUGUAACUGUAACUGUAAACGUAAGUGUAACUGUAACUCCACAUGCGGCGGAGAGCAAAACAAGACACGACCCACGAGUAUGGGAUGAUGAUACACAGAGAAACAGCGCGACACCAACGAAAAUUGCCUCGUUACUGUUACGUUUUUUUUUUUUUUUUGUUACUGUUACUGUUGCUGUUGCCUUUGGUUUUUGGUUCGGCUUUGGUUUUGAGGCUUGGAUUUGUUUUGGGGCGUGGAGACGUUGCGGCCUAAUGGCGGGCCGGGCGGUCCGGGUCCGGGUACGUCGUGCAGAGGUUUGGUUUGUUUGACUUUGUUAUUUGAGCACCUUCCUUCCUUCCUUCUCCGUUUUUUUCUUCCUUUUUGGCUGCUGCUCUGCCUUUGCUCCUGUUUCUGUUCUCAGGUAAGUUGGCACCGCAUAAAACACAAUAACUCACACGCAGACACGUGAAAAAAUAGACAACUUCAACAAGAACAACAUAGCACGGUCACACUUCAAUAAAUAACAACUAUAACAAACAGCAAAAAAGACGUCGUCGUUGAACACGAGAGACCAAAAACUGUCUUUCUCUAAAAAAAUGUGCGCUGCGCUAGGAUGAAGCAGUCGUCGUUCGCGCGGGAGUCGAACAACCGUCGUCGUCGAGUGUAAAAUGAAAACAACGAUAGAGCGGGCGCAAGGUCGAAAGCAGAACUGAACGGCGGGGCGGCUGCGAGAUAACACAGAAACGGGAAACCAGAGCUAGCGACAGUGCUGGCCAAAUGGCUAUAGCUAGAACCAUUGGCACAUAUUGAGCAAGGAUAUCCUCUUAAGUGCUCACUGAAAAUCCCUUUUGGUUUUGCCACCAGCCAAAUCCUACUCGAACAUCUCUCACACAGCACACCGCUGCUUGUCUCAUCCAAAAGUGGUGUCAAACUCGAACAUGCUCGAAGCUAACUUAACAGUUGGAUGCCCAGCAGUGUUUUCCGCUUAACCUCAUUGGAUCUAAGCAAUAUUACAAUGUUCAGAGUCUACGGAACACAAUACCAAAAACAUGAGUAUUAAGAGUGCUACUGUAUGAUCUUUUAAUGGAAUCAAUUUGCCAAGCUGUGGAACUAGUGCUUCAGCUCAUAUCAUUUUAUUGUGAAUUGGGAGGACAUCUGUGUUUUCCACAGUGAGGUUAUCAAUAAUGUGAAAAUUCAUACUACAACUUGGCAAACCGUUCAUGAAUUCUCUUAACUUUCGGAACCUGGCUACAUCGUUUUAUCCAUGUCUUCAAUCCGAAAAAUGAUUUAUAGUCGAAUUUCUCUAUAACAAACUAUCUUAAAACAAAGUUUUCUAUAUAAAGAAUUUAUAAAAUAUUUGCAAAAUAUUUCCCUUGAGAUUCGCUAAAUAGAAGUUCGGGUGUAGUAUUAUAAUCGACCAAUGGGGAUUGAAUGAGGUCUUCUGAGCAGCUUUGCAUACUAUUGUUCGGAACACCUCUUUUUCUAUCGUUCUGCAAGUGUUUGGGUCGUUUUGUCGCAGAUCGGUCAACACUGAUGCAACCAGAAGGUUCGGAGCUCGAAGACAGGAGUUCGAAGUUGGAAGUUCGAUGUUGCGGAGUCUGCGAAUCGCGCCGGGCUGGUACAUAUGCUAGUCGGUUGGCUGUGUUGCUGGUUGCUUGGUUCGAGGGGUUAAGGUUGCAAUCAGUUGGGUUGGGGUAGCUGAGCUCCGUCUCUUUGAUGAUAAUGGGGUGGCAAACGGGAAAACGGGCAAUGGCAGCAAGGCACCAAGCAGGCUUUGGCUUUGACUUCGUAUUUGCUGCUCUC
rnacentral:sRNA from 1 species